ensembl:lincRNA
CUCUAACUCACUUUACGGAGGAUCUAAACCGCUCUGUUCAUGAGCCAAGCUUGAUGGGACAGGAAAUUCCCAGCACCUCCGUCACUCAGCCUUUGACGCUCAUCCUGACUCCUGAUUGAUGAAUUAUUUGGUCGACUGAGGCAGAAUCACCUUUACUGGAGCAUAAUCUGUUGGAGGCAGCAUCUCCUGAAGUCUCCAUGAGUUGCUGGAAUGAAGAUGCAAGAGGAAAUUUGGAGAUGUUGCUUGAAAGUUUAAGUAUUGGUGUUACCAAACCAUUAGAAUAUUACAUAUGGACAACACCCAUCCAUUAGAAUAUUACGUAUGGACAACAUGGUGGAACAUUUCGAAUAAGGUUUGUCCCACAAAAUCCAAUAUAAAUGUUUGCUUUUGUCCUUUUUAAUGAUAUUGCAUUUGAAUUAUACUGAGUACAUUAUGACAUAUGAAGCUCUCAGACUGUAGGAUGGGAACAGCCAGACUUUAUGCAGUGCAG